ensembl:lncRNA
CUUUAUUAGAACAGACAUACCAGGUGAAGACGGUCAUGUGACUUUAUUAGAACAGACAUACCAGGUGAAGACGGUCAUGUGACUUUAUUAGAACAGACAUACCAGGUGAAGACGGUCAUGUGACUUUAUUAGAACAGUAAAUGGUGAAGGAAACUGGAAAUACAACAUCUCAUUGUAAACAAUGACUAAGACAAUAAUAUAUGACAUUUAGCAGACGCUUUCUUUUCAUAGUAAUUUACAUGUCAUGUGUGCAGACAAUUGUAAUUUCAUACAUAUCAUAAUUCACCACACAAGUUAGUCAAGGAGAAGGAGAGAGUGGAAGGUGUGUUUAGCCUGGGUGCCAGUCAGGAUAGCCUGGGUGUGGGUGCCAGUCAGUUUAGCCUGGGUGCCAGUCAGUUUAGCCUGGGUGCCAGUCUGUUUAGCCUGAAUACCAGUCAGUUUAGCCUGGGUGCCAGUCUGUUUAGCCUGGGUGCCUGUCAGUUUAGCCUGGGUGCCAGUCAGUUUAGCCUGGGUGCCAGUCUGUUUAGCCUGGGUGCCAGUCAGGAUAGCCUGGGUGUGGGUGCCAGUCAGUUUAGCCUGGGUGCCAGUCAGUUUAGCCUGGGUGCCAGUCUGUUUAGCCUGAAUACCAGUCAGUUUAGCCUGGGUGCCUGUUUCUGUUCUCUUGACAACUCCUAUGGAAUUGUCAUAACAAUGACAUCACUGGAGUUGUCCAGAGAUCAGAAACAGAUCUGGGAUCAGGCUAGAGUGGCAUCUUAAAUGCACAACAACAGUUCCUCUUGGAGGAAUAAAGAGAACAGAGAUCACUAGAGAUCUCACAGGUCCCUAUAGAGAUGACUACUAGUUUUGACCAGUCUGGCACCCUAAUCCCUAUGUAGUGCACUAGUUUUGACAAGUCUGGCACCCUAAUCCCUAUGUAGUGCACUAGUUUUGACCAGUCUGGCACCCUAAUCCCUAUGUAGUGCACUAGUUUUGACCAGAAGCAGGUGUCCAGGUGUCUUAACUGCUGUGUAUUUGUGUUUCCUAUGUUUUGACUGAGCGGUUGUCAAAUAUUCUGUUGUUGUUGUUGUUGUUGUUGUGUUCAUUUACAGACGUUUUCUCGGAUAGCUAAAAUCUAUCACCAUAUAUGUCAUAAUAUUUAUAUAAAUUAAAUUCUCGGAUUCAACAUGUUCUUUAGACGAUGUAGCAAGGUGGUAUACACCACAGGGACAUGUUCUUUAGACGAUGUAGCAAGGUGGUAUACACCACAGGGACAUGUUCUUUAGACGAUGUAGCAAGGUGGUAUACACCACAGGGACAUGUUCUUUAGACGAUGUAGCAAGGUGGUAUACACCACAGGGACAUGUUCUUUAGACGAUGUAGCAAGGUGGUAUACCUUAUACCAAGUCCCAACAGUACAGGGACUUGGUAGCUAUAUAACGUUGUGAUCCUCUAACAACUAGAACAAGGUGUUCUCAUUUCAAUUCUACUGUUCCAACAGUGAGGUCCUUUCAGUGGAACCCCAUUGGCUGUGUUGUCUAGUGCAGCAGUGAUAGGAAGGGUUUUUCUGUGGAACCCCAUUGGCUGUGUUGUCUAGUGCAGCAGUGAUAGGAAGGGUUUUUCUGUGAUUUUGUGCCUAAUCUUUAUUUGUGCUUUUAUAAUUGUAUUUUUGGUGUUACGACAGAUCCUCCUCGCCCCCCUGAGAUACACAUGACGCAGACGGACAGAUGACGGAGGCGUGUGAUAGAUAGAAGAAGAGAAAGGAGAGAGAGCGGGACUGACAUCAAAGAGAAAUAACAUCGCAAGGUGUCACACUAACUAACUAACUAACUAACUAAUUAAGCUAUGACUAAGUCAGUACUAACUACAGCAUUACUUCACAGUCAAACCAGACACACACACA